UGAUAAUUAUUGAAAAACUGGUUAUCGUCAUACAUGGACUGCCCAUAGGACAGUGAUAUUGGCCGCGACAGUGAUAAUGGCAACGUCUAUAGCUCUAUAACGCUGCCUUAGUCAAUACCACUGUCCUGUGGGCAGUCUAUAUAUCACAGCAAUGACCAGUUUAACUAUUAUAUAAGUUCAAUAUCUCUUUCUUUUCACUAGGAAUAAAAACGAUCAGCCGAUUGUUUCUUUGGAAAUAAGAAUGUAUUUAAAUGAUUAUUCAGAGGUGGAUUUAGGGAGGCAGUGGGUCCGGGAUCCCUUUUUGUGGGAAAAAUUUGGUUGCUUAUUUAGGGAAAAACAGGGCAUGAAUGGAGUGGGCCCUAUCUUAAGCAUAGUGGGUCUCCUUAUGAAAAUAACUGGAUCCGCUACUGUUAUAUGGCAUACUCAAAAACCGAGAGCAUAUAGUACUUUUUUUCUUCUUUUUAAGUCAAAUUAUGAUGCAUUUUAUAAUCUUUGUUGGAUAAGUAUGAUAUACAUUUAUGUUUUUCUUUUGACAAAAACCAUUUAAGCCUGUACUACGUACUACUACCGUAAAUACGUCACGAUAUAUCCUGGAUUAUAAAAUUGAUACAUGUACACUGCUUAACCACCCUAAACAAACAUGUCGUAAAUAAACCUACUUUGAUAUCCUAUGAUAUUCGAGUGAAAUGUACUGCACUGCUUCCUGAUUGCAUGUUGACCCAUUCACUUUCGUUACAACUGUAUUUAUGGAUUAAAGUCAAUUUAUUGGAUAUGACGCAUAAACAAAAGUAAAUUAUUUCAUGUAUUUUCCGUCAUUUCUUUUUUUUUCCAUUUCGUUCAAUUUUUAACAAACAAAACUAGAGGCUCUAAAGAGCCUGUGUCGCUCACCUUGGUCUAUGUGAAUAUUAAAGGAAUCAGAUGGAUUCAUGACAAAAUUGAGUUUUGGUGAUGGUGAUGUGUUUGUACAUCUUACUUUACUGAACAUUCUUGCUGCCAGUGAUAUUGUUGCCAUUUUUCAAAACUACCUCUACCCUUUUUUAUUGGGAAAAUAUGCAUCAUGUUUAUCAAAUUGGGAAAUUUAGAAUAAACCAAGAAUUUGACUGGAACUUCAAUUUGCAGACCCCCUUUCAAGAGGUAAACCCUCAUUUGAAAUAAGACCCCUUAUAGUCAGUGAUGAUACAUAAAUAGACCC
rnacentral:lncRNA from 1 species